GUUCAGAGUCAGUCUAUAAAGCCAGAAUGUGGUGUGCGGAUGGCCUUGUUUUAAAUCACCCAGCAAGCAGGGGACGUGCUCUCAGGUGUGCCCAGAGCUGCCACCGUGGGUUUAGCACCCCUGUGGUAUAAAAAGGACCUAUCCUUACGCAAGACUGACACCUGGCACUGUGAGAUACCCACGCAGGAAGGAAGCCCUGUCUUGCCACCCAGCUCAGGCUCACACCUGGGCCCCCAACACACACCCCCGUUUUGUCCUCCGCUGGCUCGUGUUUUUCUUCUCUGGACCUGGAUCCAGGCAGGACCACAUGGUGUUGAGAAGCGCACUCUGGACCCGUCUGCCUCGGUUCAGAUCCCAGCGCCUCCCUCACCAUGUAUGGCUGCAGAUCACUUUGCAUUUUGUGCCUCAGUUUCUCCUCUGGACAAGUGGAGUAAUGAAGCCACUACCUCAUAGGGAUUUGUGAGGGCUAAAUGAGGUACUGGGUAUCAAGUGUGGGACCACUUAGGUUCUAGGUAUUUGUAAACGUUUUCCCCUAUGACCCUCAUCAUCAUCACCUUCACCACCAUCUGUAUCAUCACCAUCACCACCAUCGUCACUUUUACCACCAUCACUAUCAUCAUCACCAUCACCACCACCAUCACCGGUCUCCAUCAUCAUCACCUUCACCACCAUCAUCACUUUUACCACCAUCACUAUCAUCAUCACCAUCACCGGUCUCCAUCAUCAUCACCUUCACCACCAUCAUCACUUUUACCACCAUCACUAUCAUCAUCACCAUCACCGGUCUCCAUCAUCAUCACCUUCACCACCAUCAUCACUUUUACCACCAUCACUAUCAUCAUCACCAUCACCGGUCUCCAUCAUCAUCACCUUCACCACCAUCAUCACUAUUACCACCAUCACUAUCAUCAUCACCAUCACCAGUCUCCAUCAUCAUCACCUUCACCACCAUCAUCACCAUCACCACCACCAUCACCAGUCUCCAUCAUCAUCACCUUCACCACCAUCACCACAGUCUCCAUCACCUUCACCACCAUCACCACAGUCUCCAUCACUGUCAUCAUCAUCACCAUCACCAUCACCACCAUCAGCAUCACCAUCACCACCAUAUCACCACCGUUGUCAUCACCACAACCAGCAAUUGUGGUCACUGUCAUCGUCAUUCAUGGCUAAGGAGUCCAAGUGCUCCCCUUCCUUCCUGAGACUGGUGCUCUGGGAUUCUAGAAAGCCCGGCUGGGGGUAAGGAGAAGGAAGGCACCUUUCUCUCAUGCCCUCUAUACUUGGGAAAGGGUCCCAGAGGCUUCUCCUUAUGACCCACGGUGCUUUGGGGCUUCUGGCCCUUCUGGGUGCAUAGGGAGGCCCAGGACCCUGUCUUAGUCAGCUCAGGCUGCUAUAACAAAAUACCAUAGACCAGGUGGCUUAACAACCAUCGAAAUGUACUGCUUCAAUUUCUGGAGGCUGAAAGUCCAAGAUCAAGGUGCUGGCAGAUGAGGUGUUUGGUGAGGGCUCACCUCGUGGUUCCUGGAUGGUGCCCUCUCGCUGUAUCCUCACAUGGUGAAAGGGGGGACCCUUUAACAGGAGCUUAAUCCCAUCGUGAGGGCCGCGCUCUCAUGCCCUAAUCACCUCCAAAGGCCCCAACUCCUAACACCAUCACUUUGGGGGUGAGGAUUUCAACACAGGAAUUGGAGGCGGGGACACAAACAUUUGGAUUGUAGCAGACCCCUGAGAGAAGACAUGCAGGGUCUUGGAGGGAUCUUUCCAGCCCUGCUCCUAUUUUUUUUUUUUCUUUUUUUGAGAAGGAGUGUCACUCUUGUCACCCAGGCUGGUGUGAUCUCGGCUCACUGCAACCUCAGCCUCCCGGGCCCAAGUGAUUCUCCUGCCUCAGCCUCCCAGGUAGCUGGGAUUACAGGCGCCCACCACCACACCUGGCUAAUUUUUGUUUUUUUUAGUAGAGAUGGGGUUUCACCAUGUUGGCCAGGCUGGUCUUGAACUCCUAACCUCAGGUAAUCUACCUGCCUCGGCCUCCCAAAAUGCUGGGAUUACAGGAGUGAGCCACCGCGCCUAGCCCCUGCUCCUAUUUUUAUUCUCAACCUUUCAGAAGCCAAGACUACCCAACACACACCCACAUUCUGUUUUUCUGAUUUUCUGCCAGAGAAAAAGAUUUUGUGGAUCACAAUGGGGACCAGCCUGGGGGGAAGGAGAAACAGGGCAGCGUCCUAAGUACAGGACCAAGGACCAAGUGGGCCUGGUCCCGCCCGCCACCCUCUGACAGCUGGCCAGCACUGCCCUGGAUGGAGGUGGCUUGGCAGACAGACCGGUCCAACAGGUCUUUGCUUGGGGCCGGAAAGUCUCAGCCGGGGUUGAGGAGCCUUUGGGAGCCCAACGAGCCGGUUUGUCUGGGUUCUUCGUGAAGAUCUCAGGGAUCAACAUGCUCAUGCUGACACCCUGACCUCCGGGCUGCACCUCCGUCUUGACUAGUGCUGGGAGGCCUUGGACUCCUGACCACCGAUUGCCAUCCGCUGAUACUUGAUGUGGUCCCGGGGCAGGGUCAGAGAUCAGAGGCACUGGCGCCAGGCGUGGGAGCUGGUUUUCUGUUUAGAUUUAGAGACAUAAACCCAAAGAGUGACCCUGUGCCUGUACUUAAACCUCACCUCGCGCUCACCUUUGUAGAGGAGGAACUGGAGCUCAGAGCAAACUUGUGAAGCAGCCAGGAUGGGGUCCAAAGCUCCUGUCUCCCAUCCACUGCCGUCCUCCCAGCCCAGCCUCCUUGGGCACACUCACUCUCCUCCUGCCUGCAGCAGAAUCCUGUCCAGGGCCCAGCCUGCGGGCAUCAAUAGGCCAGGGUUUCAGGCCCAGCUUUACCUGCAGCAGUUCAGCUCUGGGCACGUUUGGGUCCUCUGUGGACCUCGGUAUCUUCUUCUUUACAGUGGUGUCCCUGAAGUCCCCUUCCUGCUCAGGCAUCCUUCCCUUGCAGUCAGUAACAUGUGUUUGCAGCCUCCCUGUCCCUCUGCAUCUGAGUAGCGGCUAAGGGGUUUCCAUCUCCCGCCUGGAGGAGCAGGAGUGUGUUGCUCUGUGGAGGGCAGGGGCCUGGUUGUGCACUGGAGCCGCCCUGAGAGGGGCCAGCCUCUUUCUGUCUGAGUGUUCUCACCCCAUAAAAUCCGGAGCGCGCUGGCGCUCAGCCCAGGGGGUCGUGGAGGGUUCCCACACGACUCUUGUAAGAUCCUCUGCUAAUGAGGUCCCGGCAGUGCCAAGUGUUCCCGUGACAGAGCGUGCCAGCGUGAAGCUGGGCCCCGCUCACAGAAGCCAGGGGCAUCUUCUAGCUGGCAAAGGUGGCAGGGGAACCAGCCUCCCAUGGGAACCUCUCCAGAGCCUCCUAGAAACUCCAGGAGACCCCAUGGGAAGACGGUCUUUGGAAGCCAGGCAGGCAUAUCUGG
rnacentral:lncRNA from 1 species